rnacentral:lncRNA from 1 species
AAGGAAGAGCCGGAAGCUGGACGCCCCUCUGGGAAGCAGCAGUAAAGUCUUGCUCUGAUGUGCUGGCUGAGGAAGGAUGCCACUUGCAGUUCUGAGGGGCAUGUGUGCAGGGUCAGCCACCCUCCACUUUCUCCUUCUUCUACCAGGAAACCUGAUGGAAACAGGGAGAAGCAUGCCUCAUUUCUUCAUGAAUGAUGCUGACGUGAGUGCGCCUGAGGCUGUGCAUGCCCGUAGCGUCUGCUGCCAUUACCCGCCCCCAAUUGGAAUAUGUCCCAUAGGGGAACAUGGUCUCUCAGCCACCUUGCCUUGCCACUCCUUUUUAACACCUACAAACACAGCCAUAAAUUUUUAAGUCCUUACCAAGUGCCACGCACUGUGGUAGGCACAUUAGGUGCAUGACCUCAUUUGUUCCUCUUAGUAGCACCGAGGCUCAUCGUCCCUACUCUUUGGUUCCAGUUCCCAAUCCCAGCCAGGCACAAGGGGUUGAAGUCUGUUCCCUAAGCUGAUAUAGAGGACACAGUCCAGUC